rnacentral:rRNA from 1 species
UGAGGAACAUGACCUUCGGCGGGGGAUAGCCGGCCCAACGGCCGGGUAAUACCGCGUACGACCACAUGGGGACAUCCCUGAGUGGUGAAAGCAGCAAUGCGCCGAUGGAGUGCCUCGCGGCCUAUCAGCUAGUUGGUGAGGUAACGGCUCACCAAGGCGACGACGGGUAGCUGGCCUGAGAGGAUGGCCAGCCACAUUGGGACUGAGACACGGCCCAGACCUNUACGGGAG